rnacentral:rRNA from 1 species
AUUGAACGCUGGCGGCAGGCCUAACACAUGCAAGUCGAGCGGAUGAAGGGAGCUUGCUCCUGGAUUCAGCGGCGGACGGGUGAGUAAUGCCUAGGAAUCUGCCUUGUAUUGGGGGAUAACGUCCGGAAACGGGCGCUAAUACCGCAUACGUCCUGAGGGAGAAAGUGGGGGAUCUUCGGACCUCACGCUAUCAGAUGAGCCUAGGUCGGAUUAGCUAGUUGGUGGGGUAAAGGCCUACCAAGGCGACGAUCCGUAACUGGUCUGAGAGGAUGAUCAGUCACACUGGAACUGAGACACGGUCCAGACUCCUACGGGAGGCAGCAGUGGGGAAUAUUGGACAAUGGGCGAAAGCCUGAUCCAGCCAUGCCGCGUGUGUGAAGAAGGUCUUCGGAUUGUAAAGCACUUUAAGUUGGGAGGAAGGGCAGUAAGUUAAUACCUUGCUGUUUUGACGUUACCAACAGAAUAAGCACCGGCUAACUUCGUG